rnacentral:rRNA from 1 species
UUCGACGAGUCGAGUAGUUUGGGAAUGCUGCUCAAAAUGGGAGGUAAAUUUCUUCUAAAGCUAAAUACCGGCCAGAGACCGAUAGCGCACAAGUAGAGUGAUCGAAAGAUGAAAAGCACUUUGAAAAGAGGGUUAAAAAGUACGUGAAAUUGUUGAAAGGGAAGCGCCUGUGACCAGACUUGCGCCCCGCGGACCACCCGGCGUUCUCGCCGGUGCACUCUGCGGUGCGCAGGCCAGCAUCGGUUCUCCCAGGGGGACAAAGGCCGCGGGAACGUAGCUCCUUCGGGAGUGUUAUAGCCCGCGGCGGCAUGCCCCUGGGGGGACCGAGGACCGCGCUUCGGCAAGGAUGCUGGCGUAAUGGUCACCAGCGACCCGUCUUGAAACACGGA